rnacentral:rRNA from 1 species
UACGGAGGGUGCGAGCGUUGUCCGGAAUCACUGGGCGUAAAGAGCUCGUAGGCGGUUUGUCACGUCGGAUGUGAAAACUCGGGGCUCAACCCCGAGCCUGCAUUCGAUACGGGCAGACUUGAGUUCGGCAGGGGAGACUGGAAUUCCUGGUGUAGCGGUGAAAUGCGCAGAUAUCAGGAGGAACACCGGUGGCGAAGGCGGGUCUCUGGGCCGAUACUGACGCUGAGGAGCGAAAGCGUGGGGAGCGAACAGG